UCCCUGGGGGUCUAGUGGUUAGGCCACAGCGCUCUCACCGCUCUCACCGCUCUCACCGCUGUGGCCCGGGUUCGUUUCCCGGCCAAGAUA